rnacentral:rRNA from 1 species
UACAGAGGGUGCGAGCGUUAAUCGGAAUUACUGGGCGUAAAGCGUGCGUAGACGGUUAUCUAAGUCGGAUGUGAAAGCCCCGGGCUCAACCUGGGAAUUGCAUUCGAGACUGAAUAGCUAGGGUACGGUAGAGGGAAGCGGAAUUUCCGGUGUAGCGGUGAAAUGCGUAGAUAUCGGAAGGAACAUCAGUGGCGAAAGCGACUUCCUGGACCAGUACCGACGUUCAGGCACGAAAGCGUGGGGAGCAAACAGG